rnacentral:lncRNA from 1 species
UGUUGUUGUAUGCAUCCUCGGUGGCAUUAUUAACUGGAGCUUUUCAAACAGAUGAAGUAUGUUACUUACUGUGGCUAAAUUGUAAUGAAAGAAGAGAUGGCUGUUUGCCAGUAAAUGAUCCUGUCAGCAGUUGAGAAAGUUUAUGAAAUAGACUCAUCUUGACCAGUAUAUCUAAUAACUUUAAACAAACCUAUCAACUCCAUAUUGCUAAUCCUUCUCAGAAUCCACUUUGAUCUCUGCAUCAUCUAGUGUCAAUGGAUCCUCUCUGUGACUUUAAAGCACCUUGGCUCGGUUGGAGGUACUGCUGCCCAAAGCCAGUUGUAAGUGUGAGGCCAACAGACGUGGAUGCCAGUCAGGAGCAGGGACCCAGCAGUUGUUCUCUGUUCCAGGAUCCAGCCUUACUGAAGGUUAGCUGCAGUCAUAUAAUUACAGGUACUUACUCAGUUUGUCACAUUGAGUAG